rnacentral:rRNA from 1 species
GACGAACGCUGGCGGCGUGCUUAACACAUGCAAGUCGUACGGUAAGGCCCUUUCGGGGGUACACGAGUGGCGAACGGGUGAGUAACACGUGAGUAACCUGCCCACAACUUUGGGAUAACGCUAGGAAACUGGUGCUAAUACUGGAUAUGUGCUCCUGCUGCAUGGUGGGGGUUGGAAAGCUCCGGCGGUUGUGGAUCGACUCGCGGCCUAUCAGCUUGUUGGUGGGGUAGUGGCCUACCAAGGCGGCGACGGGUAGCCGGCCUGAGAGGGUGACCGGCCACAUUGGGACUGAGAUACGGCCCAGACUCCUACGGGAGGCAGCAGUGGGGAAUAUUGCACAAUGGGCGCAAGCCUGAUGCAGCAACGCCGCGUGCGGGAUGACGGCCUUCGGGUUGUAAACCGCUUUCAGCAGGGACGAAGCUUUUUGUGACGGUACCUGCAGAAGAAGCACCGGCUAACUACGUG